rnacentral:misc_RNA from 1 species
GAUGAAGAACGUAGCGAAAUGCGAUACGUAGUGUGAAUUGCAGAAUUCAGUGAAUCAUCGAAUCUUUGAACGCACAUUGCACCUCUCGGUAUUCCGGGAGGUAUGCCUGUUCGAGCGUCAUUUGUACCCUCAAGCUCUGCUUGGUGUUGGGUGUUUGUUCCGCCUCUGUGUGUGAACUCGCCUCAAAACAAUUGGCAGCCGGCGUACUUGUUUCGGAGCGCAGCACAUUUUGCGAUCCAGAUCAACGUACAGCGGCAUCCAAGAAGCCUUAUUUAACGCUCUUGACCUCGGAUCAGGUAGGGAUACCAGCUGAACUUAAGCUUAUCAAUAAGCGGAGGA